AUACAGAGGGUGCGAGCGUUAAUCGGAAUUACUGGGCGUAAAGCGUACGUAGGCGGUUGGUUAAGUUAGAUGUGAAAGCCCCGGGCUUAACCUGGGAACUGCAUUUAAAACUGGCGAACUAGAGUUGAGUAGAGGGGAGUGGAAUUUCAGGUGUAGCGGUGAAAUGCGUAGAGAUCUGAAGGAACACCAGUGGCGAAGGCGACUCCCUGGACUCGAACUGACGCUGAGGUACGAAAGCGUGGGUAGCAAACGGGAUUAGAAACCCCGGUAGUCC
rnacentral:rRNA from 1 species